rnacentral:rRNA from 1 species
UAGGGAAUCUUCGGCAAUGGACGGAAGUCUGACCGAGCAACGCCGCGUGAGUGAAGAAGGUUUUCGGAUCGUAAAGCUCUGUUGUUAUAGAAGAACGUUGGUAGGAGUGGAAAAUCUACCAAGUGACGGUAACUAACCAGAAAGUGACGGCUAACUACGUGCCAGCAGCCGCGGUAAUACGUAGGUCCCGAGCGUUGUCCGGAUUUAUUGGGCGUAAAGCGAGCGCAGGCGGUUCUUUAAGUCUGAAGUUAAAGGCAGUGGCUUAACCAUUGUACGCUUUGGAAACUGGAGGACUUGAGUGCAGAAGGGGGGAGUGGAAUUCCAUGUGUAGCGUUGAAAUGCGUAGAUAUAUGGAGGAACACCGGUGGCGAGUGCGGCUCUAUGGUCUGUAACUGACGCUGAGGCUCGAAAGCGUGGGGAGCAAACAGG